rnacentral:rRNA from 1 species
UGGGGAAUAUUGGACAAUGGGGGAAACCCUGAUCCAGCAAUGCCGCGUGUGUGAAGAAGGCCUUCGGGUUGUAAAGCACUUUCAGUAGGGAAGAAAUACUUAAGACUAACACUCUUGAGAGUUGACGUUACCUACAGAAGAAGCACUGGCUAACUCUGUGCCAGCAGCCGCGGUAAUACAGAGAGUGCAAGCGUUAAUCGGAAUUACUGGGCGUAAAGCGCACGUAGGUGGCGACGUAAGUCGGGUGUGAAAGCCCCGGGCUCAACCUGGGAAUUGCAUUCGAGACUGCAUUGCUGGAGUACGGAAGAGGAGGGCGGAAUUCCCGGUGUAGCGGUGAAAUGCGUAGAUAUCGGGAGGAACAUCAGUGGCGAAGGCGGCCCUCUGGUCCAGUACUGACACUCAAGUGCGAAAGCGUGGGGAGCAAACAGGAUUAGAUACCCGCGUAGUCCCUGAGCGGGCUGGCAAGGCGCAU